rnacentral:rRNA from 1 species
CAAAAACAUGUCUGUGUGAAGUAGUUAUAAAGUCUGGCCUGCCCACUGAUUGAUUUAAAGGGCCGCGGUAAUUUGACCGUGCGAAGGUAGCAUAGUCAGUAGUCUUUUAAUUGAAGGCUUGUAUGAAAGGUUGGACGAGGGAUAGGCUGUCUCUUUUGUGUAGUUUGAAUUUAACUUUUGAGUGAAAAGGCUUAAAUUUCUUAGUGGGACGAUAAGACCCUAUAAAACUUGAUAUAAAUUUAAUUAGAUUUGUGAUCUUGGUAAAAAAUAGUCUUGUUGAGUUUAUAUUUCGUUGGGGAGAUGAAGAUAUAACGUG